rnacentral:lncRNA from 1 species
CGAGGAGGAGAGGAACAAACCCUUGAAAGUUUCAUCUCACGUUUCCACUUCGGAGCAUUCCCUCUUCGUUACUUUGAUGCCACAGUCGGCGCCCUCUUCGUUCUCCAAUUUUGGUUUCUCGAGCAACAGUGCUUCGAUCAUUCGUCGUUUGUGCCGCCAGUGCAUUCAGUCGUUGCCACUACAAUCAGUUGUCAGUCCUCCCUCGUCUGCUUCUGCUAUGUUCUUUUGUUUCAGUUUGACCUCUAUCUUCGAUGUUUCCUUCCUGGUCACUUUCUUCAGUCGUUGGUCGAUAACAGCUACACAAAAUCGUGCUUCCAGAAUCUGGCUAAGUUAUAAGCUAUAAUUCCAGAGUUCA